CUAAAUAGUGUUGGGAGUCCUGCAUAGACAGAGGAGAACACAUGGCUCCUGAAGAGGACUGGAAGAGGAUUUCGCUUACUGCUUCAGUGGGACUUGAAACAGAAUAUCCACACCAAGCACCCGGAGUGGGGAGGGAAAUGUUAUUCCAGAUCUUUGAUGCCAGCUCAUCUCUCAAAUUGACCUCAGUUGACUGGCGAAGCCGACAGCUCGCGCACUCACCAAGCCUGAAGGCUGCGGGCUCAGCUUUUUCCAUCGCCUGACAGUCAUGUGGCUUUUGUGCGCUGAGAUCCUCUCGUCUUCAGGAAACUGCAGCGCGGGGCUCACAUUUGCAGGUUGCACAUUCGGAGUUGGGGUGUGUGUGUGUGGGGGGGUGUCUAUGUUUUAUGGGCUUCUCUGUAUGUACUAUGGCUUAGAGGAGAGAUACAGAAACAUAGACUAGUAAAAGAAAAACGAUGUAAUCAAGAGUAUAUAGUGUGUGGUGUUGAAUGGUUUGCAAAUUUACUCCAGGAUUUACUGCCAGUAUGUGCAGGGUUUAAUUUCAUCAGUGUGCAGCCUUAGCAUGUGUCGGCUCACUUCAACAGGCCCUGUCUCACAACCGUCAGUGAAAGAGGUGCGAGAAACAGGAAUACUGGAUGCUUGGAGACAACGUGAAAUCGAACACAAAACAUAUUGAAGAAAUAAAGCCUGAUAUGUUUUUUUAAUUCCUUUUGAGCUUUUAUUUCACCCCUGCGCAGAAAGGUGAAACUGUCACUCAACGUAAACAAGGUAGAUGGAGCCACAGGGUAUUUACAUUAGCGCCACUCUGAAAAUGUGGCCCAAUCAUCCCAUCCAUCGAUUUCCUAAACGCUUCUUCCAGUUUGGGGUCUGGUCUACCAGCCGGUCCUGGUAAGCACCUGGUGCAAACCGGUGCUGCCCCUAGCCCAUUAAUCAAGGUGUGGUAUUUUUUAUUUUAUAUUAAUGCAUCAUAACUUUGUGCAAGUUGUUAUGUGACUGAAUAAUAAUAAAAGUACGAAGAAAAAAACAGAAUGAAAUGGUUGAAGCACGGCACCUUGCCCAGCUCCAUCUUCCAGACCGACCAUCAGAUGUACACCAGAUCUGAGUCCUCACCUUCGUCUACGAAAUACAUGUACUGAGAAAUUAAAUACACUACAAAUGAGUGGAGAGACCCACAGUAUGUGGUAUGUUAUUUGAUGGGGCAGGUGGUGGCACUGUGGCUAAGGCUCUGCACCUAUUGGCGGAAGAUUGCUGGUUCAAAUCCCAUGGUUACCAGAGGGCUCCUACUCCAUUAGGCCCCUGAGCAAGGCCCUUAACCCUGAGUGCUCCAGGGGUGCUGUACAAUGGCUGAUCCUGUGC